rnacentral:rRNA from 1 species
UACGUAGGGACCGAGCGUUGUCCGGAAUCAUUGGGCGUAAAGAGCGUGUAGGCGGCCUGUUAAGUCUUGCGUGAAAUCUCGGGCUCAACCCCGAGCGGUCGUGAGAAACUGGCAGGCUAGAGUGCGGGAGAGGAGAGUGGAAUUCCUGGUGUAGCGGUGAAAUGCGCAGAUAUCAGGAAGAACACCGUGGCGAAGCGGCUCUCUGGAACGCAACUGACGCUGAGACGCGAAGCGUGGGGAGCAAACAGG